UGCAGAAUCCCGUGAACCAUNGAGUCUUUGAACGCAAGUUGCGCCCGAAGCCAUUAGGCCGAGGGCACGUCUGCCUGGGCGUCACACGUCGUUGCCCCCCCAACCCCCUCGGGAGUUGGAUGGGACGGAUGAUGGCCUCCCGUGUGCUCAGUCACGCGGUUGGCAUAAACACCAAGUCCUCGGCGACCAACGCCACGACAAUCGGUGGUUGUCAAACCUCGGUUUCCUGUCGCGCGCGUGUUGAUCGAGUGCUUUCUUAAACAAUGCGUGUCGAUUCGUCGAUGCUUACAACGCGACCCCAGGUCAGGCGGGGUUACCCGCUGAAUUUAA
rnacentral:rRNA from 1 species